rnacentral:lncRNA from 1 species
UAGGACCAAGCGGAGGUGAUGCUGUCAUCUCCCAGUCUGAACUCUUUGCAUUGAAAUACCUCAUGCAUGCAGCUGAUCUGCUGUGUGCUACUAGGUAUGGGACAGCUGGCUGCUCUGUAAGUUCAUCCAUACACCCUAUUGAGAGACGCUUCUGCCUUCUCUGAGAGAAGAUUUCAUCCAAAGAUCAUCAGCAGCAGCCACCAUCAGAGACAGCAGAAGGAAGCUGAGUAGGUCCCAGUUGCCUUUGUGUUGACAGCACGGUCUGCUCUAUUGCCCUUGAUCUCUACUGUGUGGCAUUGAUGUGGAGUCUUCUCAGAGUCUACACCUAUGUGGAGUUUGAGUCAAAAUCAGAUUCACUUUCUGUUAAAACUGAAGAUUUGAAGAAUUACACUGUAUCAGAGUUGGG